UUUAUCGGAGAGUUUGAUCCUGGCUCAGGACGAACGCUGGCGGCGUGCCUAAUACAUGCAAGUCGAGCGGACAGAUGGGAGCUUGCUCCCUGAUGUUAGCGGCGGACGGGUGAGUAACACGUGGGUAACCUGCCUGUAAGACUGGGAUAACUCCGGGAAACCGGGGCUAAUACCGGAUGGUUGUUUGAACCGCAUGGUUCAGACAUAAAAGGUGGCUUCGGCUACCACUUACAGAUGGACCCGCGGCGCAUUAGCUAGUUGGUGAGGUAACGGCUCACCAAGGCGACGAUGCGUAGCCGACCUGAGAGGGUGAUCGGCCACACUGGGACUGAGACACGGCCCAGACUCCUACGGGAGGCAGCAGUAGGGAAUCUUCCGCAAUGGACGAAAGUCUGACGGAGCAACGCCGCGUGAGUGAUGAAGGUUUUCGGAUCGUAAAGCUCUGUUGUUAGGGAAGAACAAGUGCCGUUCAAUAGGGCGGCACCUUGACGGUACCUAACCAGAAAGCCACGGCUAACUACGUGCCAGCAGCCGCGGUAAUACGUAGGUGGCAAGCGUUGUCCGGAAUUAUUGGGCGUAAAGGGCUCGCAGGCGGUUUCUUAAGUCUGAUGUGAAAGCCCCCGGCUCAACCGGGGAGGGUCAUUGGAAACUGGGGAACUUGAGUGCAGAAGAGGAGAGUGGAAUUCCA
rnacentral:rRNA from 1 species